rnacentral:rRNA from 1 species
UGACGGGGGCCCGCACAAGCGGUGGAGCACGUGGUUUAAUUCGAAGCAACGCGAAGAACCUUANCAGGUCUUGACAUCCUUUGACAAUCCUAGGGAUAGGACUUUCCCUUCGGGGACAAAGUGACAGGUGGUGCAUGGUUGUCGUCAGCUCGUGUCGUGAGAUGUUGGGUUAAGUCCCGCAACGAGCGCAACCCCUAUUGUUAGUUGCCAGCAUUCAGUUGGGCACUCUAAUGAGACUGCCGGUGACAAACCGGAGGAAGGUGGGGAUGACGUCAAAUCAUCAUGCCCCUUAUGACCUGGGCUACACACGUGCUACAAUGGAUGGUACAACGAGCAGCAAGACCGCGAGGUCAAGCGAAUCUCUUAAAGCCAUUCUCAGUUCGGAUUGCAGGCUGCAACUCGCCUGCAUGAAGCCGGAAUCGCUAGUAAUCGCGGAUCAGCACGCCGCGGUGAAUACGUUCCCGGGUCUUGUACACACCGCCCGUCACACCACGAGAGUUUGUAACACCCGAAGUCGGUGAGGCAACCUUUUUGGAGCCAGCCGCCUAAGGUGGGACAGAUGAUUGGGGUGAAGUCGUAACAAGGUAGCCGUAUCGGAAGGUGCGGCUGGAUCACCUCCUU